rnacentral:lncRNA from 1 species
AAAUAAUAAAAUACUUAACUAAUAUUAUAAAAUAAAUACUAUAUUUUUCAGUGUUAUCAAACUCCCCUAAACUUGAACCAUUGCUUGUCCUCAAGCAAAAAGAUAUAUCAUUUAGUGAUAGAGAAAACAAAACAAAAGACAUCCUAAAGUCACAUAUUUAAUCUCAACCAAAUUAAACAAGUUAGUUUAUUUAUCCUACUAAAAAUAUCAUGAAAACACAAAUCAAAUAUGAUCAUGAAUUUCUUCCUUAUAUAGACCGUUCCGAACUAUUUUGCCAUACCCAAACUUAACUUUCAUUUCUUCUUUCGUCAUCCUUUUUUAACCCUUGGUAAUCACAUUAAGCCCGUUAUCUAUUUCACACACACAUGGUAGAAAGUCUGUUAGUGAUUAUGACCCGAUUCUUUUUUCAUAUUACUUAUUGCCUUUUUAGCAUAGGAUAGUUUUAUAUCUUAGAGGUAUUUCGCAGUUGGGCUAAAUGACCGGGUGAGGGUCACCUGACUUAGAAUGCGUAUUCCCUUUUCAGAUUUAUACUACCUUUAUUAUUAUAUAUUUUUUCGGAGUCAUUCACUUAUAUUCAUCGACUAUACUACUUAGAUAGUGAUCGUAGAUGGUGCCGACUACCUAUGGGUUUACUCAAGGAUUAGUAAAGUGUUAAGAAAUUUAAGCUGGGUUCUGGCAAAUAUCCAAAUUGAUCUACAUAAUUAAGAAAUUUAUGGUGUUAAAAUGAUAUAGCUAGUAUAAAAAUAUAC